rfam:Rhodococcus rhodnii LMG 5362 LMG_5362_contig127, whole genome shotgun sequence.
CCGGUUCCGGUUCACACCUUCGGCAGGCGAAGGUGACCCGGCGGCC